GGGUAGUUUGACUGGGGCGGUCUCCUCCUAAAGAGUAACGGAGGAGCACGAAGGUCAGCUAAUCCUGGUCGGACAUCAGGAGGUUAGUGCAAUGGCAUAAGCUGGCUUGACUGCGAGCGUGACGGCGCGAGCAGGUGCGAAAGCAGGUCAUAGUGAUCCGGUGGUUCUGAAUGGAAGGGCCAUCGCUCAACGGAUAAAAGGUACUCCGGGGAUAACAGGCUGAUACCGCCCAAGAGUUCAUAUCGACGGCGGUGUUUGGCACCUCGAUGUCGGCUCAUCACAUCCUGGGGCUGAAGUAGGUCCCAAGGGUAUGGCUGUUCGCCAUUUAAAGUGGUACGCGAGCUGGGUUUAGAACGUCGUGAGACAGUUCGGUCCCUAUCUGCCGUGGGCGCUGGAGAAUUGAGGGGGGCUGCUCCUAGUACGAGAGGACCGGAGUGGACGCAUCACUGGUGUUCGGGUUGUCAUGCCAAUGGCAUUGCCCGGUAGCUAAAUGCGGAAGAGAUAAGUGCUGAAAGCAUCUAAGCACGAAACUUGCCCCGAGAUGAGUUCUCCCUGACUCCUUGAGAGUCCUGAAGGAACGUUGAAGACGACGACGUUGAUAGGCCGGGUGUGUAAGCGCAGCGAUGCGUUGAGCUAACCGGUACUAAUGAACCGUGAGGCUUAACCUUACAACG
rnacentral:rRNA from 1 species